rnacentral:sRNA from 1 species
GUGAAUCAUCGAAUCUUUGAACGCACAUUGCGCCCUUUGGUAUUCCGAAGGGCAUGCCUGUUCGAGCGUCAUUAUCACCCCUCAAGCCCUCGUGCUUGGUGUUGGACGGUCUGGCGGAAGUGUCGUGCACCCCGCCCCUCCUAAAGACAAUGACGGCGGCCUCGUGGAACCCCCGGUACACUGAGCUUCUUUACCGAGCACGUAUCGGAUCAAGGGCGCCCGGGACACGGUCUUCUCCCUCAUGUGGGAAACAUUGCAAGGUUGACCUCGGAUCAGGUAGGAAUACGCGCUGAACUUAAGCAUAUCAAUAAGCGGAGGAA